UGAAUACGAGAUGCUACGGCGUCGAAGCAGUCUAUGUCAUACUUCCAAGAAAAGCUUGCACUGUCAUAAACAAAUAAUGCCUGUACCAUAACCGACACAGGUGGGUAGGUAGAGUAUACUAAGGGGCGCGAGAUAACUCUCUCUAAGGAACUCGGCAAAAUGACUCCGUAACUUCGGGAGAAGGAGUGCCUUAUUUAUAAGGUUGCAAUAACAAGAUCCAAGCAACUGUUUACCAAAAACACAGGUCUCCGCUAAGUCGUAAGACGAUGUAUGGGGGCUGACGCCUGCCCAGUGCCAGAAGGUUAAAGAAGUUGGUUAGCAUCCGCGAAGCUGAUAACUGAAGCCCUGGUGAACGGCGGCCGUAACUAUAACGGUCCUAAGGUAGCGAAAUUCCUUGUCGGGUAAGUUCCGACCCGCACGAAAGGCGUAAUGAUUUGGAUACUGUCUCGGAGAGGGGCUCGGUGAAAUAGACUUGUCUGUGAAGAUGCGGACUACCUGCACCAGGACAGAAAGACCCUAUGAAGCUUUACUGUAACCUGAAAUUGAAAUUGGACUUUACUUGCGCAGUAUAGGUGGGAGGCGUUGAGAAUAUUCUUGCGGGAUUAUUGGAGCCAUCAGUGAGAUACCACUCUUGUAAUGUUAGAUUUCUAACUUUGCAUCAUUAUCUGGUCAAAGAACAGUUUCAGGCGGGCAGUUUGACUGGGGCGGUCGCCUCCUAAACGGUAACGGAGGCGCACAAAGGUUUCCUCUGAACGGGUAGAAAUCGUAUCUAGAGUGUAAAGGCAUAAGGAAGCUUGACUGUGAGACCUACAAGUCGAGCAGGGACGAAAGUCGGUCUUAGUGAUCUGACGGUGCUGAGUGGAAAGGCCGUCACUCAACGGAUAAAAGUUACUCUAAGGAUAACAGGCUGAUCUCCCCCAAGAGUUCACAUCGACGGGGAGGUUUGGCACCUCGAUGUCGGCUCAUCGCAUCCUGGGGCGGUAGUACGUCCCAAGGGUUGGGCUGUUCGCCCAUGAAAGCGGUACGCGAGCUGGGUUCAGAACGUCGUGAGACAGUUCGGUCCAUAUCCGGUGUAGGCGUUAGAAUAUUGAGAGGAGCCUUCUUUAGUACGAGAGGACCGAGAAGGACAUACCUCUGGUGUACCAGUUAUCGUGCCAACGGUAAACGCUGGGUAGCUAUGUGUGGAGUGGAUAACCGCUGAAAGCACCUAAGUGGGAAGCCCACCUCAAGAUAAGUAUUCUCAC
rnacentral:rRNA from 1 species